rnacentral:rRNA from 1 species
AUUGAACGCUGGCGGCAUGCUUUACACAUGCAAGUCGAACGGUAACAGGCCUUCGGGUGCUGACGAGUGGCGAACGGGUGAGUAAUGCAUCGGAACGUACCCAGAGGUGGGGGAUAACGCAGCGAAAGCUGUGCUAAUACCGCAUGUGAUCUGAGGAUGAAAGCGGGGGACCGAGCAGCAAUGUUUGGCCUCGCGCCUUUGGAGCGGCCGAUGUCGGAUUAGCUAGUUGGUGGGGUAAAGGCCUACCAAGGCGACGAUCCGUAGCUGGUCUGAGAGGACGACCGCCCACACUGGGACUGAGACACGGCCCAGACUCCUACGGGAGGCAGCAGUGGGGAAUUGUGGACAAUGGGCGCAAGCCUGAUCCAGCAAUGCCGCGUGCGGGAAGAAGGCCUUCGGGUUGUAAACCGCUUUUGGCAGGAACGAAACGGUGUCCGCUAAUACCGGGCGCUAAUGACGGUACCUGCAGAAUAAGCACCGGCUAACUACGUG